GAUGAACGCUGACAGAAUGCUUAACACAUGCAAGUCGAUGGGGAAGUGGUGCUUGCACCCUGGCAACCAUGGCGGACGGGUGAGUAACGCGUAAGGGACUUACCUGCAGGACUGGGAUAACAGGGGGAAACUCCUGACAAGACCGGAUAAUGUCAUGGAGCUGCAUGGCUUUAUGAUGAAAGGAGACGCCUGCGGAGAGCCUUGCGUCCUAUUAGCUAGUUGGUGAGGUAAUGGCUCACCAAGGCGAAGAUAGGUAGCCGGCCUGAGAGGGUGGACGGCCACAAGGGGACUGAGAUACGGCCCUUACUCCUACGGGAGGCAGCAGUGGGGAAUAGUGGACAAUGGGGGCAACCCUGACCCAGCAAUUCUGUGUGCACGAAGAAGGUUUUCGGAUUGUAAAGUGCUUUCAGCAGGGAAGAAGUAAGUGACGGUACCUGCAGAAGAAGCGACGGCUAAAUACGUG
rnacentral:rRNA from 1 species